UCCGAGUUAACCUCGGCGGUCUCAUUAGAGUUCCCACCAUUACGUGCUGGCAACUAAUGACAAGGGUUGCGCUCGUUGCGGGACUUAACCCAACACCUCACGGCACGAGCUGACGACAGCCAUGCAGCACCUGUGUAGCAGUCCUUGCGGAAGACCAUGUUUCCACGGCUGUCCACUACAUGUCAAACCUGGGUAAGGUUCUUCGCGUUGCAUCGAAUUAAACCACAUGCUCCACUACUUGUGCGGGCCCCCGUCAAUUUCUUUGAGUUUCACCCUUGCGGGCGUACUCCCCAGGCGGUGUACUUAUCGCGUUAGCUUCGACACAGUUAGGGUUGAGCCCAACUACGUCAAGUACACAUCGUUUACGGCAAGGACUAC
rnacentral:misc_RNA from 1 species